rnacentral:rRNA from 1 species
AUUGAACGCUGGCGGCAUGCCUUACACAUGCAAGUCGAACGGUAACAGGUCUUCGGAUGCUGACGAGUGGCGAACGGGUGAGUAAUACAUCGGAACGUGCCCGAUCGUGGGGGAUAACGAGGCGAAAGCUUUGCUAAUACCGCAUACGAUCUACGGAUGAAAGCGGGGGAUCUUCGGACCUCGCGCGGACGGAGCGGCCGAUGGCAGAUUAGGUAGUUGGUGGGAUAAAAGCUUACCAAGCCGACGAUCUGUAGCUGGUCUGAGAGGAUGAUCAGCCACACUGGGACUGAGACACGGCCCAGACUCCUACGGGAGGCAGCAGUGGGGAAUUUUGGACAAUGGGCGAAAGCCUGAUCCAGCCAUGCCGCGUGCAGGAUGAAGGCCUUCGGGUUGUAAACUGCUUUUGUACGGAACGAAAAGCCUCUUUCUAAUAAAGAGGGGUCAUGACGGUACCGCAAGAAUAAGCACCGGCUAACUACGUG